rnacentral:rRNA from 1 species
AGAUUAAGUUAUUAAGGGCGCACGGUGGAUGCCUUGGCACUAGAAGCCGAUGAAGGACGUUACUAACGACGAUAUGCUUUGGGUAGCUGUAAGUAAGCGUUGAUCCAGAGAUUUCCGAAUGGGGGAACCCAGCAUGAGUUAUGUCAUGUUAUCGACAUGUGAAUUCAUAGCAUGUCAGAAGGCAGACCCGGAGAACUGAAACAUCUUAGUACCCGGAGGAAGAGAAAGAAAAAUCGAUUCCCUGAGUAGCGGCGAGCGAAACGGGAAGAGCCCAAACCAACAAGCUUGCUUGUUGGGGUUGUAGGACACUCUAUACGGAGUUACAAAAGAACAUGUUAGACGAAUCAUCUGGAAAGAUGAAUCAAAGAAGGUAAUAAUCCUGUAGUCGAAAACAUAUUCUCUCUUGAGUGGAUCCUGAGUACGACGGAGCACGUGAAAUUCCGUCGGAAUCUGGGAGGACCAUCUCCUAAGGCUAAAUACUCUCUAGUGACCGAUAGUGAACCAGUACCGUGAGGGAAAGGUGAAAAGUACCCCGGAAGGGGAGUGAAAGAGAACUUGAAACCGUGUGCUUACAAGUAGUCAGAGCCCGUUAAUGGGUGAUGGCGUGCCUUUUGUAGAAUGAACCGGCGAGUUACGAUCUGAUGCAAGGUUAAGCAGCAAAUGUGGAGCCGCAGCGAAAGCGAGUCUGAAUAGGGCGUUGAGUAUUUGGUCGUAGACCCGAAACCAGGUGAUCUACCCUUGGUCAGGUUGAAGUUCAGGUAACACUGAAUGGAGGACCGAACCGACUUACGUUGAAAAGUGAGCGGAUGAACUGAGGGUAGCGGAGAAAUUCCAAUCGAACUUGGAGAUAGCUGGUUCUCUCCGAAAUAGCUUUAGGGCUAGCCUCAAGUGAUGAUUAUUGGAGGUAGAGCACUGUUUGGACGAGGGGCCCCUCUCGGGUUACCGAAUUCAGACAAACUCCGAAUGCCAAUUAAUUUAACUUGGGAGUCAGAACAUGGGUGAUAAGGUCCGUGUUCGAAAGGGAAACAGCCCAGACCACCAGCUAAGGUCCCAAAAUAUAUGUUAAGUGGAAAAGGAUGUGGCGUUGCCCAGACAACUAGGAUGUUGGCUUAGAAGCAGCCAUCAUUUAAAGAGUGCGUAAUAGCUCACUAGC